rnacentral:tRNA from 1 species
GGGGAUUUAGCUCAGUGGUUCCAGUGCCUGCCUUGCAAGCAUGAAGUCCUGAGUUCAAUCCCCG